UACGAAGGGGGCUAGCGUUGCUCGGAAUUACUGGGCGUAAAGGGAGCGUAGGCGGAUUGUUAAGUCAGGGGUGAAAUCCUGGAGCUCAACUCCAGAACUGCCUUUGAUACUGGCGAUCUCGAGUCCGGGAGAGGUGAGUGGAACUGCGAGUGUAGAGGUGAAAUUCGUAGAUAUUCGCAAAGAACACCAGUGGCGAAGGCGGCUCACUGGCCCGGUACUGACGCUGAGGUGCGAAAGCGUGGGGAGCAAACAGGG
rnacentral:rRNA from 1 species